rnacentral:snoRNA from 1 species
UUUAAUGAUGAGAACAUGGACCAAGUACAAAUUAGUUGAAAACCUAUGGCGCUGAAUGAUGAAUUGAUUUCAAACAUGAAACAGAUUUUUAGA